CCUACGGGAGGCAGCAGUGAGGAAUAUUGGUCAAUGGUCGGGAGACUGAACCAGCCAAGCCGCGUGAGGGAGGAAGGUACAGAGUAUCGUAAACCUCUUUUGUCAAGGAACAAAGACUGGGACGCGUCCCCGGAUGAGUGUACCUGAAGAAAAAGCAUCGGCUAACUCCGUGCCAGCAGCCGCGGUAAUACGGAGGAUGCGAGCGUUAUCCGGAUUUAUUGGGCGUAAAGCGAGUGCAGGCGGUUCAAUAAGUCUGAUGUGAAAGCCUUCGGCUCAACCGGAGAAUUGCAUCAGAAACUGUUGAA
rnacentral:rRNA from 1 species